rnacentral:lncRNA from 1 species
AUAAAACCAGAUGCUCCGCAGGGCGCAGCUAUAUACGACCGCAGAGGUCAAACCCUGAACGGUUGGGGCAAGUAUGGACACAUCAUUCAAGCUGGAUACAGCUCUGAAUUUGGAUUGUGAUUAAAUAGUUGACACAGCAUAGGUUUCUGACACAGAAUGAAUGUGGUCUAAUGAACUUGAUUUUUUUGCUUUUGAGCAAUUUACUAUGCUGUUGAAUAUUAAUCCUCUCAAAGAAAAAAUAUUUGAAGACAUUUUCUUUUUAAAUUCUGAAAUCUGAAAUGAG